GGUUCCGUGGUCCAGUGGUCAAGACUCAUCGUUGUGGUUAAGAGAAAAGUUUACUGGGUACCUGCUAGCGCUACUCCAUCUACUCUCCGAUGCAACCCGUGUUCGAUUCACGGCGGAGCCA